UAACCCCUCAGGAGAAGAGAAAGUAAGUUCCCCAGGUCUCCGUGAGAGCAGGGAGACGGUGUCAUCCCCUCGUCCUUCAUGGGGGGGUGUGAUGACUAAGGAUGCUUGGCUGUUGACCCUGCCACACCCUCCUCAUUGACUGCCAUGUCUGUGGCCCUCGAUGGCAUUGCCAGACCUGGAAUGCCCCUUCACUGAGGAAGACACCCAGCCACAGUUCUGCCCCGUCCACUCCCGAUCACCAGAGGCCAGUGGAUCGCACAGCCUCUAACUGUUACUCUGACCCAUCUGCCCAGGGGAUGUCCGUGUCGCUGUUCCACAGACUUGGAGACAUCUGUGCCAGCCCCCAGGUGGAGCGGAACUGAUUCUAGUUGACUCAGCAGUGCCAGACACUAGCACCCACAAUUAUUCAUUGAGAAAGAAUCGAAGAAGAAAGCUCCUCUGAAAAAGAAUGGGAUGGAACAAGAGAAGGGUGGAAGAGAACCCCUUACCCCUUGAAGAAGCUUCUCGCCAUGCAGAGACCUCCUAUGGCCACUUGGCGCCAACCCAGAAGGAAAUCAUCACAAUCAGUCUCCAUGGGGCUGUCAACCUGCCCUCUCGCAAGACUGGCUCCAAACCCUUGGCCUUUGUGGUAGCGAAAACCACCUCACAGGAGGAAAAACACCAGGAGUCUACCGCCGUUACCUCAACUACCUGGGAGCCCACCAGAAGUCCCACCUGGGAAACAACAGUCAAGUUGGAGAUCCAAACUGCAGACGUGGGUCGUGAAGAGGCAAUCCUGAAUGUGCUUGACAGCAGAACCAAAGAAUUGCUAGUUUCCUACCGGAUACCCAUUAAGUACCUUCGCCCUUUCCACACCUACCAUUUUGAGCUGAUGAUGGCUCACAAGAGUGGUUUAGCCAAAUUGUAUGCUUCAGUUACUCGGGAGAGCAGUUUCAUGCCCCGAUACAUUGGAUGCACUCACACAGCCUUAGAGGUCUUUCUUCGGGGAAUCAAUGAACCCCUCGCCAACCCCUUUGGCCCUAUCAUGGUGGUUGCCCGUGUCAUUCCCAACUACAAGGAGUUCAAGGAGACAAAGUUGAACAAAGAGCCUUUAUCUUUGGGGCUGCCUAUAAAAACUGUCAACUUUCCGAGCCCCUCAGUGCUGGCUUUUGAUGUUCCUCGGACCAACAAGCAGGGAUACCCUCAGGUAUCUAAGCCUGGUGGGCCUGCUAGACAGCCCGAAUGGAAUACCUCCUUCCUCUAUCAAGCCCGGAAUGGGUGUACACAGUUCAAUGAAGAUCUGGCCCUGGUGCUGGAAUAUUAUCCCAUGAUUCCAAUGCCCAAGAAAGAAUCUUGGAACCUCAUAGAACCCUUGGGCAUCUCUGUGUUGCCGCUCAACAAUCGAGUUUACCGAAAAAUGAUGUCAGGAGCACCGACUGCACUUCAUGUGAAAAAGCUUCCUAUAUUGAAAACUAAGCUGAAAGCGCUUUCGGGUGGAACACUUACUGUUAACCUUUCUUUCCAAGUGCUUUCCUCAGAGAGGCCAGACAACUUUAUGACUCCUAACAAUUGUGCAGACGUUCCUGUCCUGAAUCCUACACUCUUAGAUGCAGAACUUGGCAACAUCCGUGAAUCGUGGUCCAAGGGCCAUGUAAGCCCAGAUGUGGAGUCAGGGUCUGAGCCAUUUCCUGAUCCUGAUCCAGAUUCAGAACCAGAGCCAGAGCCAGAGGAAGAACCACAUGUAGAGUCAGAACCAGAGCUAGAACUAGUGACAGAGCUAGACCCAACGCCCAAGCCAAAAAUCUUUGUGGACAAGUGCCUUUCUAUACCAUCACUGACUGAAGUAAAACCUCUGGAGCCUCUUCAAGAAACACUGGAAGAGUUCAACCCACGCUGGUCACAUCAGAAGGUUAUACACAAGAUCCAAUCAAGUUCCCAGUUCUCCAAGGUGGGGUCCCGAGAAUCGAUACAUGAUUUCUCCACUGUGCCCCAAGAGAAGUUUCAGCUGUAUAGCAGUCUUUAUUACUCGGAAUCCACAGACAGCCGAGACCACCAGUAUCAGGUGGAGAAGAAGCCUAAACAAUCAGAUGCAUCAUUAAAUACCUGGAAGGAAACGGACAACUAUCAGAAAGCCAUAACAAAGAUGGCCAAUGACAUCCUGUCUCUGCGAAGGCAAGUGACCUCCCUGGAGACAGAAAACAAUUGCCUUCGGCAACAAGUGUCCACACAGGAACGGAUGGGUCAUGCUUCUGUGGAAGAUGAAGAGAUGAUAGCAAACAUGAAGCAAAAACUUUCCCAGAGCACCACAGAAACGAGAAGGUUGAAGGACAGGAUACAGCAGCUGCAGAAUGAGUUAAUUCGGAAGAAUGAUCGGGAAAAGGACUUAUUACUAAUACAACAGUCUCACAAUCAACAGCAGCAUAAUCUGAGAAGGUAUCAGGACAAACUGCAGAAGAUGAAAGGUCUGGAGCAAACUGUGAGGAGUCAGGAGAAGGUGAUUCAAAGAAUGGAGAAGAUCUUGGAGGAGAAAGUAUUUCAGCCAUCCACAGAAAGAUCUGAUAUAGUGACAUCAACCCUGGGACGACCUCUUGGGAGGCACACGGGACUUCCUUUCCGGCACUUCAGACAAGCUCAAUCUUAUGGCCAAAUUGGAGAGCGCUCAAGGUCAUAUACGGAUUUUGGAGAACGAGUUGGAAAAUUCGGCUCGACACUGGGAACAAGAAAAGCAAGGCCUGAUGUCGAAGCUGGUGGAGCAAGGCCGUGGCUCUACACCUGGCUCCAAUCCUAUGUUGAUGGAUGCCCAAAUGAGUGGCCUCCCGAGCCUGGGGACUGGAGCGAAGAACAUGGAGAUGAGGAACCAGAGCUCCAAGGAGUGGAAGUGACAAACUCGGGAUUGUCAAAGAAAGGAGUUCUACGGGCCAUACGACUUUCAAAGAGCCGCAAAAACAGGAUCCGUUACCGCUCCAUCCAGAACUUGAGCCGUAAAUGUCACCGAAGAUAGAAGAGAAACCGGCAGGAGCACAGAACAGGCAUCCUUCUCCUGGAACCAGGCCCCUAACAACUUUAUUAAUUGCAUAGAGCUUGCUGGGGCUUGAAGGGCCGGAAGGUGAACACGAUGGGCUUGUCAGGCAUCAAGAUGAGAUUAAAGGUGGUCCCCACAUCUGAAAGCUUCUGGACUUCGACCCUGAAAUUCUCCAGAAUCUGCGAAGAAGAAAGAACUAGGCUAAAUAAUAAAGGUGGGAGACUCCAAUGCAAAGUUCCAAAAAGGAAACUGCCUUGGAGUGACGAGAUGCUCGAGGAAGGUUCUUCACUCACACGAUGUCUUGCGCUGAUGCCCCAAAUACUACCAUCGUGUAAUUCUUCAGUCCCUCCUGAAUGGUUUCUAUAAUGCAAUACCCAUGGAGAAAGCUUGUUCUAUGGGAAUGGAUAAUACUUGAGAGGCACUAAAAGUGGAAAAAGGAUUGCUGGGGGUCCCAUAUAAAUGAGCUUGGAAGAGUC